rnacentral:rRNA from 1 species
AGAGUUUGAUCCUGGCUCAGGACGAACGCUGGCGGCGUGCUUAACACAUGCAAGUCGAGCGACAGCACUCUUCGGGGUGUAUGGAGCGGCGAACGGGUGAGUAACACGUGGGCAACCUGCCCUCAGCUCUGGGACAACUCCGGGAAACCGGGGCUAAUACCGGAUAUGACUGCUCCCGGCAUCGGGGGUGGUGGAAAGUUUUUCGGCUGAGGAUGGGCCCGCGGCCUAUCAGCUUGUUGGUGGGGUGAUGGCCUACCAAGGCGACGACGGGUAGCCGGCCUGAGAGGGCGACCGGCCACACUGGGACUGAGACACGGCCCAGACUCCUACGGGAGGCAGCAGUGGGGAAUAUUGCGCAAUGGGCGGAAGCCUGACGCAGCGACGCCGCGUGAGGGAUGAAGGCCUUCGGGUUGUAAACCUCUUUCAGCAGGGACGAAGCGAGAGUGACGGUACCUGCAGAAGAAGCACCGGCCAACUACGUGCCAGCAGCCGCGGUAAUACGUAGGGUGCAAGCGUUGUCCGGAAUUAUUGGGCGUAAAGAGCUCGUAGGCGGUCUGUCGCGUCGGCUGUGAAAACUCGGGGCUCAACUCCGAGCCUGCAGUCGAUACGGGCAGACUUGAGUGCUGUAGGGGAGACUGGAAUUCCUGGUGUAGCGGUGAAAUGCGCAGAUAUCAGGAGGAACACCGGUGGCGAAGGCGGGUCUCUGGGCAGUAACUGACGCUGAGGAGCGAAAGCGUGGGGAGCGAACAGGAUUAGAUACCCUAGUAGUCC